UGGGGAAUAUUGCACAAUGGGCGCAAGCCUGAUGCAGCCAUGCCGCGUGUGUGAAGAAGGCCUUCGGGUUGUAAAGCACUUUCAGCGGGGAGGAAGGCGAUAAGGUUAAUAACCUUGUCGAUCGACGUUACCCGCAGAAGAAGCACCGGCUAACUCCGUGCCAGCAGCCGCGGUAAUACGGAGGGUGCAAGCGUUAAUCGGAAUUACUGGGCGUAAAGCGCACGCAGGCGGUCUGUCAAGUCGGAUGUGAAAUCCCCGGGCUCAACCUGGGAACUGCAUUCGAAACUGGCAGGCUAGAGUCUUGUAGAGGGGGGUAGAAUUCCAGGUGUAGCGGUGAAAUGCGUAGAGAUCUGGAGGAAUACCGGUGGCGAAGGCGGCCCCCUGGACAAAGACUGACGCUCAGGUGCGAAAGCGUGGGGAGCAAACAGG
rnacentral:rRNA from 1 species